AAGACCCUGCUGAUUCUACUAUUGGUUUUGAACAUUUAUUGUAAAGAUAAUUUUAAACUCUCAUCGAAGAGACACCAGGAUUC
rnacentral:pre_miRNA from 1 species